rnacentral:rRNA from 1 species
ACGGGGGGUGCAAGCGUUGUUCGGAAUCAUUGGGCGUAAAGAGCGUGUAGGCGGCCAGGCAAGUCAGAGGUGAAAGCCCUAGGCUCAACCUAGGAAGUGCCUUUGAAACUGCAUGGCUUGAGUAAGGGAGAGGAAAGCGGAAUUCCUGGUGUAGGGGUGAAAUCCGUAGAUCUCAGGAGGAACACCUGUGGCGAAGGCGGCUUACUGGCCCUGCUCUGACGCUGAGGCGCGAAAGCGUGGGGAGCAAACAG